UCUGCUCUUCAGAACGAAUGCCUCUGAUGUGAGGCUACUCUACAGGAAACAUGACCUCAUUCAGGCUCUGUGCCUCUGAUUGCACGGGCUGUUUUCAAAAGGAAACAGGGGACUUGCUAGACCUGCCCUUGCGAAGAGCCAGGGCUGAGCUCUCCCAGGAAGCUGCUCAAGGACCAGCCUCCACCAGCCGUCCCACGGGCUCUCGGGCUGAUGAAGAGACAAAUUUUGCACGCAUGUGUUAAUUGUGAAAUGGAUUUUCCAGGUUCAACACCACUUAAUGAAGAGCAUAGACACAGCCUCUCAAGACAUAUUUUUCCAAGUUGUGCUUGUGCCUUUUUGGAUGAUGAUCCUGCCUAUGGGUGCUCCACAAGUCCUCUGACAGGCUCCCUUCCUACAUGCCGCCGCAGCCCUCGACUGCUUUCUAAUGGUUAUUAUGUUUUGACAGAAGACAGUUUUCUGUCUGAUGAAGAAGGCAACAUAACACUGACACCAUCCCACACAAGUGUUACAUAUAAAGAGAAUUUAGUUCGUGUAUUCAGGCGAAGGAAGAAAAUCCGUCGCUCUCUUGACAGCUUGUUCAAUCUCAGUGCCUCCAGCUCAUGGCUCAGCUCCACCAUUCCCAGCAGGAUGGAUUUCUCCCAUGUAGAGGACCCUUGGCCUGAUGGAUGCAGAAAAUUAGAAGCCAGUCACAAUGAUAUUGGUGAUUCAGACUUUUCUUCUGAAUGUAAUAACCAUGUGUCACAAAGGCAAAUUCCAGCAUCUCAUGGAGCAUUUCUCACCAAAGAUGAUGAGUUUCUUCAUUUUGAGGAACCAUUUUGUGCUUCAAAAUCCUGCUCUUCAUUUAUGAUAAAUGCAAAUAAAGAGAACUGGAGCAAUGCAGAAUCCAGGACAGUGCAAAAUGUCAUUUCUCAGAUAGUUGCACUGAUCACGUGUUUAAUCAUUUCAGCGUGUACAAGAUAUUUUCUGGGAGGACUGUCUGCCACUUUGUUGCUGAUGAUUUUAGUUUGUAAGUAUAGAGUUUCUUUAUUUCCAAUGUAUUUAUUUUUUUUUACUAAGUCACAUCUGAGGAACAAAUUCUUUCCUUGAAUGUAUAUCCAUGGGUCUUUCUGAUCCUAAUAAGAGCAGUAUAUGGUCAAAUGGGGACAAAUGUAGCCUUCAAUUCAUUACAGCAUUUAAUUUUAAUUUUAAUUUUAAUUUCACAAUUCUUUUGUCCCAAGAUGCUACUGUGUCAUCUUUCUUCACUCUUGAUACAUUUUUCAAAACAACUAAGUUUUGAAAAUAGUAAGAAAUAAAGAACAAUUGCUCUUCAGCACUGAACUCCUGGAUACCUCCUUAUGGCCAUGGUUACAUGUUCCUGUGGACAAAAAAACCCCAGAUUUGAUAGCAUUCUUCCUCCAAAACAUAAUGAAUUUCAGCUUUAUUUUUAUUCUGUUCAAAUGUAAGGCCUUAGUUCUUGGUGACUACCUGGAAGAAAUCAUACAAAGAAGUGCUAUAUCUGUAGUAUUUUAUCUUGAUAAUAUUAAAAGUGUUUUGUAAUUCCCGUGAAAUAUUUUUUUUAUAAAAAUGAUGUAAUCCCAUAUUUUAUAUAUUAAUUUCUUGUUACAACAUGCAUCAAAGAUAAUGGAUUUGGAUAGUGGCUGAGUAAAUGUGAUAACUGAUAUAUUAUGGAACUAAAACAGUCUUUAUAAUACUCAUCCUCAUAUUUGCUUGUAGUUAAUGCACUUGAAUAAUAUUGUAAGUGUUAAAUAAUUCCUCUUCUUUAUUUAAAAGUACAGAGACAACUGAGAGUAAAUAUCACUAUGUAAAACAUGUAAAUAUUUUGUUUGGUAUUUUAUUCCUAUUGUAAAAAGUCCAUUACUAAAAUAUUUUUAAAAUAAAGGAUUGUAAAGUUUUUUAGUAUUUAAAUAAUCUCUUGAAAUAAUAAUCUGAGAAUUUAAAUCCCAUUCUGAGAGAAAAGUCUAAGACUGUAAUUACCCUGCAGUCAUCAAAGCAAUUAUUCUGAAAACCAGAAGAGUUCACCAUCAACUCAUUAGUUCACUGUAAACUAUCAAAGAAAAAUCUGAUUGAGAUAGAAAAAAAAACCAACUUUACAAUAAAUUCCUAUAAUCUGUCUAUUAAUAAAUACAAACUGUAAAUUAGAAUUGUUCUCAUCUGGAAUGAGAGAACUCCUGGGACAAUUUCUCAAUUGGAGUUGAAGGGCUAAAAAUAAAAUGCUCAGGAUCUAUUAAGAUCUGCCUUCCCUGAAAUUUGAAUUGUGUGUGUUGAAUUAACAACGUCCUAGUCAGUUACCAGACUGGUUGUCUUUGGGAGUUCCCUUCUGUAUAUUCCUAUGGACACAAAAACAUGCUUCAUCUUUUUUCUCUGAAAAGAGGCACAAUCAUGUUUUUUCCUGUCAGAUAAAAGAUUGAAGCCAGGAUUUUUCUGAUGAAAAACUGAAAAAAAAUUUCCAACCUAAGUAUGUAAAUCCAGAGUUUCAGAGGUAGUGAGUAUCUGCAGCUUCUGGUAACUACAGUAUCAAGCCUAGGAUAACUGUGGAAUAUAAUUCUCUCACAGUAAAACCACUUAUUGAUUAGUGAUUAACUUACACAUAUACUAACAGAGAAAAAAAACCCUAGAAUUUUUGGGAUUUUUUUGUCCCCAGUGAUUAAACAUUUACUUCCCUUUAAUAUAGCACCUUAUUUAGAGAAAAGAAUCAAAUAGAAGUGAUGAGAUGUAAAUUUAUACCCCCUAUGCAUUUUUUAAUAAAAUUUAUUGCUUUUUAAAUAUAUAUGAUAUUUAUCAUUACACCUUGUCUUAUUCUCUCUUACUUCAGCUGUGUUCAGCUGAGUUUCAGGGUAAUUCCUGAGUAUAUAUCAGGUACUGCUUUAUAGGGGGAAUGUUUAUGUGGGAGAUGAUAAUAUUGAUGCCAUUCCCUAAUUUUUAAUGUUCCUGAUCUGUGAGCAAGUCUGGUUUGUAAUUAUCCUGAAAACAUUACUCACAGAAGCCAAACCAUAAAAAAAAUUAAAAUCUUUUAUUUAAGUUAUGUGGAAUAAACUACACGGUACAGAAUACAGGUUAUGACCACUUAGUCCAGGUCUGCAAAAUCUGCUCUUUAUGUACAUUUUUAUGAAUUGGCUGCACUAUUUUAUAAACCUCUCUGCACGUUUCUAUAUACACCAAGCAAAACUGUUACUUCAUUUAUAUUGUUUCUUUUUUUAUGGUUUCUCACGCUGGUUUUUUUUCCCCUUUUCUCUGGCAUUUCUAUAUCAGUAAAAUUGUUCCUGUUCUCAUUUCUGCUUGUGUUUGAGAGUGUUUUUCAGUAAUGAAGAUUGUUACUGUUAGAAACUGCAUAUAUUUCAGUGAAUUUCUUAUUUGUCAGUACAUGUCCUGCCCUGCAGAUUGUGUGCUCUUUGCGGGAGGGUUUUUUGGUACUUUAGUGCAAACAUAAAGCCUUGUUUUGUACUGGUGACUACAUUACCUAGCACCAUAGAAAAAUAAAAUAAAAAACAGUAUUUGAAAAAAAACAGUAAUUCAAUAUGAAAUAAAUAAAAAUACAUAGGUUUAAAUUCUGAGUGGGUAUCAAUCAGCUGAUUUACACCAGCUGAGACUCUGAGCUGCAGCAUUUCAACAGCUUUGUUCAUGGAUAUCAGUUUUCUGGGGUUGGAGCACCUUACAUGAUUGAAUGUAUGGACAAAGUCAAGCCAUGUUCAAAAUACUUCUGUAUUAGUAAUUGUAAUAAUAAUGCUAUAAAGCUUAUUUUUGUCAUUGCAUAGAAAAACAUAUUGCAUUGUUUUACACAUGUAGCAAAUAAAGUUGUAAUGUAUUAAACUAAA